rnacentral:tmRNA from 1 species
GGGGGUAACCGGUAUCGACUGAUGGGGAAGUAGAAAAGGUGCAAGGGUGAGGGAAGCGUGGCUCACUAAAAACGCUUAAACUUUUAAUCGCAAAUGACGAUUUUAACAUGGAGAUGGCGGCUUAAUAACCUGACCACUCUUGAGGCGACGGCAGCCAAUAAACAGAAAGCCGUAUUUUGUCUUCUAAGUGCUUUUGAUUAUUUUAGCCGUAAUAAGAUGAUCUAGUCAAGUUGUCUGUCCGACGAAAAAUACAGACACAACCUUGUGAAUGACCUUUCUGUGGAACUAGACAAGACGGGAGUUCGAUUCUCCCUACCUCCACCA